CCGCAAGGGCAACCGGCGAACGGGUGCGUAACACGUGAGCAACCUACCUCGAUGUGGGGGAUAGCCGGCCCAACGGCCGGGUAAUACCGCAUACGGUCGCGACGGGGAGUCCCGUUGCGAGGAAACCUCCGGGGCAUUGAGAGGGGCUCGCGGCCUAUCAGCUAGUUGGCGAGGUAACGGCUCACCAAGGCGACGACGGGUAGCUGGUCUGAGAGGAUGGCCAGCCACAUUGGGACUGAGAGACGGCCCAGACUCCUACGGGAGGCAGCAGUGGGGAAUCUUGCGCAAUGGCCGAAAGGCUGACGCAGCGACGCCGCGUGAGUGAUGAAGGCCUUCGGG
rnacentral:rRNA from 1 species